UGCCUUAAGUUACUUCAUUGUCGCAUGUUCAAACAACCUUAAACCCUCAGGCGAUGUUUAAUAGCGCUCAUAGGGUCUGCUUUAAACUGUUGUUAUUGAAAGGAAUCUACAUAUUUAUAUGACAAUUGGACGUUAACAUUCGCUUUAAGUUUAUAGUAAGUAAAAAUUCAUUACUUAGAAAAUGUGAAAAGCUUGUAUCAUACGUGCAAAGAGUAUAAAGUUUUCGAUUAAUAAAUGCGCAAAUGUCGAAACAGAAAACACACAAGUGAGCAGCGGGUUUCAUUUACGGCCAACCCGCGGACAUACGGAAGGAAGUCAGCAUAAGAAGCUAACUGAAAGGACAGAAACGGAAAAUGGACUUCAGAAUUGUGUUAGCUGUGGUUAUUUGUGUUCUGCUAAAGCCAACAAUUCAGAUAAGAGAUGCGACAUUCCACAAACAGUUGGCCAAGAAAGAUAUUUUACAGCAGCUCAGCCAAAAAGAAAACAAAAACAUCGCAAAGAAUGUGAUUGUUUUCAUCGGAGAUGGCAUGGGUAUCUCUACAGUGACUGCCGCCAGAAUCCUCAAAGGUCAACUUGCUGGUCAACCAGGGGAAGAAACUGUCCUCAAUUUCGAGAAGUUCCCUUAUACUGGUCUUAUAAAGACGUACAGCGAGGACAAGCAGGUAACGGACUCCGCUGCCUCGGCUACGGCCAUAUACACGGGCGUCAAAACGAAGUCUCGUAUGCUUAGAGUUGACGACAGUCACAAAGUGGGCACAUGUGUAAAACCGUCUGAGGGAAUACCUGGAAUCAUGCAAUGGACACAGGAGAAAGGGAAGUCCACGGGUUUCGUGACAACCUCCCGUGUGACGCAUGCUACUCCGGCCGGCCUGUACGCGGUGACCACAAACCGGGACUGGGAGUCGCCUAGAGAUGCCCCCACCGGAUGUAUGGACAUCGCCACACAGCUUGUCCGCCUCAAUCCCGAUAUCAAGGUCAUAAUGGGAGGAGGUGUGUCCAACUUUCUCAAGACUGGUUUUAUUGGCGCAUCUAACGCAAGUCAAACUCUUAUUCAGGCAUGGGAGGAAGACAAAAUAAACAGAUCAAAGAGUUACGGAGUCGCUUACGACAGGGCACAGCUCGAGGCUAUGAAUAUGGACAAGACCGAUUACGUCCUCGGAUUAUUUAGCAGCGGUCAUAUGGAUUAUGAAAUUGAUCGCAAUACAAACCCGAGUGGUCAGCCAAGUUUAGCUGAAAUGACAAGAGCCGCUAUACAUACGCUUCGAAGGAACAGCAAAGGCUUCUUUCUCAUGGUUGAGGGUGCCCGUAUAGACCACGCCCACCACGAAACAAAAGCCAAGAAGGCCUUAUAUGAUACACUGGCAUUCGAGGAAGCUGUUCAAGUGGCGCUGAACCUUACAAACCCGGAGGAGACACUUACUAUCGUUACUGCCGAUCAUUCGCAUGUCUUUACCAUUAACGGCUACCCUGACAGAGGCAACGGAAUUCUUGACCUGGCAAGACCAAUAGUUGACAACAUGGCGCUUGACAACCAGCCUUACACCACACUGAUGUACACAAAUGGACCAAACGCACAGUCGGUGCGCGCGAACCUUACCUUCAGGAAUACUCAAUACAAAGAGUUUCAACAGCAGUCAACAGUUCCCCUCUCGUCAGAGACCCAUGGCGGAGAGGAUGUUGCUAUAUAUGCACAGGGACCCAUGGCUCACCUGGUAACGGGUGUCAAGGAACAAAACGUCAUCGCAUACGUUAUGGCGCACGCGGCUUGCGUGGGAGAUACAGGAAUACCUUGUGAAAAUGGAAGGGAACAAGUAAUGAAUGGGCAGAAUAAUGUACGAAAUAGUGGAACGGCAUUGAACAUUGGUGAUAUAGUAGUUGUAACAUGUAUGCAUAUACUAAUGCAUGCAAUAUACAAAGAUACAUAGCACGGAGACUUUAUGUAGACAGCCUAACCUCAUCCGCAUGUCUUUACUGUUUUGGUAAACUGUGAUAUUAUCAGACAGCCGUGUUGGGUGACCAUGGUUCUGGUGAAGCAUCCAUAAUUCCGAAACGUUGUAAACAUUCAUGACGGAAGGAAAUUAUAACAUUUUCAUUUUGAAAUUCUAUACCCUUACUUCCUGAAUCAUUGGUUUAAAACUAAGAUGUCAACUACUUUGACUUGGUAUGUUAACAUUACAGUGCGUGCAAAAUGCAGUGAUAUCAUAGGAUCGUAUUUUUAGAGCUUGCUACUCGAAAGUACAUGAACUUUACUUGCCAAGAAAACGACUUCUUCAUCCACAUCAGAAAAAUUGGAUAGCAGAACCACCGUGAUUAAAAUAGAAUAUAUCGAUGUUAAUAUAUACACGUUGAUCCUUACCAUAUAUUGACAUACGUUAUAUGCUAAUAAUUGAAAUGAAAAUUUGAUUGAUAUAAUUGCUUUAAAUGAGUUGAAAUAACCUUAUAGUUGUAUAUAUUAUGCAUAUUUUCUAUCAAGAGGAAAUAAAGAUGU